AGCAACGCCGCGUGGGGGAAGAAGGCCUUCGGGUUGUAAACCCUUUCAGGAGGGACGAAGGUUCGCCGGUGAAUAGCCGUGCGGAUUGACGGUACCUCCACAAGAAGCUCCGGCUAACUACGUGCCAGCAGCCGCGGUAAUACGUAGGGAGCAAGCGUUGUCCGGAAUCAUUGGGCGUAAAGCGCGCGUAGGUGGCCCCAUAAGUCCGCUGUGAAAGUCAAAGGCUCAACCUUUGAAAGCCGGUGGAUACUGUGGGACUAGAGUACGGAAGAGGCGAGUGGAAUUCCUGGUGUAGCGGUGGAAUGCGCAGAUAUCAGGAGGAACACCAAUAGCGAAGGCAGCUCGCUGGGACGUUACUGACACUGAGGCGCGAAAGCGUGGGGAGCGAACAGGAUUAGAUACCCUGGUAGUCCACGCCGUAAACGAUGGGUACUAGGUGUGGGAGGUGUCGACUCCUCCCGUGCCGUCGCUAACGCACUAAGUACCCCGCCUGGGGAGUACGGCCGCAAGGCUA
rnacentral:rRNA from 1 species